rnacentral:sRNA from 1 species
UGCUUGUUGAACACUUGUGCCAGCACUCAGGUGUCUGCAUCAAUGCUGGCAACACGCAUUACUGUCAGUGCCCCCUGGGCUAUACUGGGAGCUACUGUGAGGAGCAACUUGAUGAGUGUGUGUCCAACCCCUGCCAGCACGGGGCAACAUGCAGUGACUUCAUUGGUGGAUACAGAUGCGAGUGUGUCCCAGGCUAUCAGGGUGUCAACUGUGAGUAUGAAGUGGAUGAGUGCCAGAAUCAGCCCUGCCAGAAUGGAGGCACCUGUAUUGACCUUGUGAACCAUUUCAAGUGCUCCUGCCCACCAGGCACUCGGGGUAUGAAAUCAUCCUUAUCCAUUUUCCAUCCAGGGCAUUGUCUAAGUUAUAAAUCCAUUCUUUGUGUUCAGGGGAUUUUAUAAAAUUAAAGAUAGUAAGACUAGCUUCAUUCCAAGCAUUUAGUUCUGCAUCCUAGUAAUUCAAGCCAUUUUAUUCUCCCAUCUCUUGCUAGCUGUGAUGUUGUGGUUUAUGUUCUCAGUUUUA